rnacentral:rRNA from 1 species
GCUUAGCCGUAACCAAGCAGCUAAAUAACCAGCUACUCGCCAAAUAACUACGAGUUAUAACUUAAAAUUUAAAAGACUUGACGGUACUUCACACCAACCUAGAGGAGCCUGUCUAAUAACCGAUAACCCACGAUUAACCCAACCUACCCUAGCCCAAUCAGUCUAUAUACCGCCGUCGCCAGCUUACCUUAUGAAAGAAACAAAGUAAGCCUAAUAAUAAUACAUUAACACGACAGGUCGAGGUGUAACUAAUGAGUAGGAUAAGAUGGGCUACAAUUUCUAAUCCAGAAAAAACGAAUAGACUAUGAAACUAGAAACUGAAGGCGGAUUUAGCAGUAGGUUAAGAAUAAACAUGCCUAACCGAAGAUAAUGCAAUGAAGUGCGCACACACCGCCCGUCAUCCCUGUAAGACCUAUAUACUAUCCAUAAAAACCAUCGAUCUACUAAACAGGGCAAGUCGUAACACGGUAAGCGUACUGGAAAGUGCGCUUAGAAACAAAAAGUAGCUUAACCAAAGCAUUCGACCUACAAUCGAACGACAUUACACAAUAAUCUUUUUGAGCCAAGGCUAUAACCAUACAAACAUCAUUAUACCACUAAACAAACCAUUUGACCAACUAAGUAGAGG